GGCGGCGUGCUUAACACAUGCAAGUCGAACGAUGAAGCCCCUCGGGGUGGAUUAGUGGCGAACGGGUGAGUAACACGUGGGCAAUCUGCCCUUCACUCUGGGACAAGCCCUGGAAACGGGGUCUAAUACCGGAUAACACUCCUCAGGGCAUCUUGGGGGGUUGAAAGCUCCGGCGGUGAAGGAUGAGCCCGCGGCCUAUCAGCUUGUUGGUGAGGUAGUGGCUCACCAAGGCGACGACGGGUAGCCGGCCUGAGAGGGCGACCGGCCACACUGGGACUGAGACACGGCCCAGACUCCUACGGGAGGCAGCAGUGGGGAAUAUUGCACAAUGGGCGCAAGCCUGAUGCAGCGACGCCGCGUGAGGGAUGACGGCCUUCGGGUUGUAAACCUCUUUCAGCAGGGAAGAAGCGCAAGUGACGGUACCUGCAGAAGAAGCGCCGGCUAACUACGUGCCAGCAGCCGCGGUAAUACGUAGGGCGCAAGCGUUGUCCGGAAUUAUUGGGCGUAAAGAGCUCGUAGGCGGCUUGUCACGUCGGGUGUGAAAGCCCGGGGCUUAACCCCGGGUCUGCAUUCGAUACGGGCUAGCUAGAGUGUGGUAGGGGAGAUCGGAAUUCCUGGUGUAGCGGUGAAAUGCGCAGAUAUCAGGAGGAACACCGGUGGCGAAGGCGGAUCUCUGGGCCAUUACUGACGCUGAGGAGCGAAAGCGUGGGGAGCGAACAGGAUUAGAUACCCUGGUAGUCCACGCCGUAAACGGUGGGAACUAGGUGUUGGCGACAUUCCACGUCGUCGGUGCCGCAGCUAACGCAUUAAGUUCCCCGCCUGGGGAGUACGGCCGC
rnacentral:rRNA from 1 species